GUUCAGGGAUGAUCUCAAGCUUGUGCCACAUGUCUGUGCCUCUGAUCUAAGUGAUGGGAUUAAGGAGCUGAGGAG